CCCGUGGCGCCCUUCUCUUCUCCUGAAGGCAACAAGAACACACAAUGAGUAAUGGGUAAAACGAAGAAUGCCUGGUUCCUAGCUUCUUUGCUCUUCGGGUUGUACUUCACCAGCGUCUGGACAGCUCCUCCACUCCCAUAGACCUCCUAGGUAGAUAUAAGGUAACACCCAAAUCCCUGAGGGCACAGGUAAGGAACAACGGUAAGGAUGUAGCAAGGUAACUAGGCCAUGCCCCUGGAUGUCCACCGGUAUAUCAGAAGCGAGUAACUUUUUACUCGUAUCACAGAUAGAUAUUGAGCAAGGUGACUGACUCUUCACACUAGGCUUACUGAGCGGGUUCCAGAGCAAUGGCUUUUAACUCGUGCAGGCGGGUAAGUAUUCAACAAGUAGCUGUAUCUUCACACUGGGCUUUACAGGGCGUAUUCAAGGGCAAUAGCUUUUAGCUCGUACAGAGAGGUAAGUAUUCAACAAGUGGCUGUAUCUUCACGCUGGGCUUUACAGGGCGUAUUCAAGGGCAAUAGCUUUUAGCUCGUACAGAGAAGUAAGUAUUCAACAAGUGGCUGUAUCUUCACGCUGGGCUUACAGAGCGUAUUCAAGGGCAAUAGCUUUUAGCUCGUACAGACAGGUAAGUAUUCAACAAGUGACUGGAUCUUCACGCUGGGCUUACAGAGCGUAUUCAAGGUCAGUAGCUUUCCCCACAAUAUCCGCACAAUACCUUGUUUUGCUUUCACACUUCACCUUCGAGCUGGGUCCGGAGAACGGAGUUAUAGGCGGGCGUAGGUGGGAUAGGUGGGCACCGCCACGGCAGCCUACGUUCUUUCCAACAGGAACUUUUCUCGGCCUGGAGGGCAAGUACAGACAACAGGGAAACGGCACAGCACUGCAAAGCUUUAGUGCACACACGUCAAAGACAGACUCACCCACUGCACUACACACACUUCAGUGAUUUUUAAGGUCGGUACUCCACACCCGGUCGGAUUUCGUCCUGGAGGAAUUUGCAGUCGCUGUCACGGUAAGUGCUCCAAACUUUACGGUGUGGCCACAGCCAAAUAACAUCCAUUCACCCACGCUCUACUUCGGCUCACCCACUCGUCUCGUCC
ensembl:lncRNA